rnacentral:rRNA from 1 species
CCUACGGGUGGCAGCAGUGGGGAAUAUUGCACAAUGGGGGAAACCCUGAUGCAGCGACGCCGCGUGAGUGAAGAAGUAAUUCGGUACGUAAAGCUCUAUCAGCAGGGAAGAAAUACUGACCUUACGGUCAGCAGACGGUACCUGAGUAAGAAGCACCGGCUAACUACGUGCCAGCAGCCGCGGUAAUACGUAGGGGGCAAGCGUUAUCCGGAUUUACUGGGUGUAAAGGGAGCGUAGACGGUGCGCCAAGUCUGGAGUGAAAUGCCGCGGCUUAACUGCGGAACUGCUUUGGAAACUGGCGAACUAGAGUGCGGGAGGGGUAAGCGGAAUUCCUAGUGUAGCGGUGAAAUGCGUAGAUAUUAGGAGGAACACCGGUGGCGAAGGCGGCUUACUGGACCGUAACUGACGUUGAGGCUCGAAAGCGUGGGGAGCAAACAGGAUUAGAUACCCCAGUAGUC